CAGAGCGUGAGGCUCAGUCGGGGCACCUGCCGCGCGCUGGGCCGACCCUCCCACCCGUGUCGAUUUGUAUCUUGUUGCUUUGGCGGGCCGGGUUGUGUCGUCGCUGUCCGCCAGGAGUAGCGUCGGCCGCCCGCCGGCUUCGGCUGGAGCGCGUCCGCCAAAGACCCAACCAAAAAACUCAUGUUGUCAUUGCAGUCUAAGCUUUAUUAUUGAAUUGAUA
rnacentral:misc_RNA from 1 species